rnacentral:rRNA from 1 species
ACUGCUCAGUAACACGUGGCUAACCUGCCCUUGGGAUGGGAACAACCCCGGGAAACUGGGGCUAAUUCUCAAUAGGUGAAGAACUCUGGAAUGAGUCUCCGCCCAAAAGACGCUUGCGCCAUGCUUGUAGGCGUCGCCCAAGGAUGGGGCCGCGACCGAUCAGGUUGUUGGUGAGGUAACGGCCCACCAAGCCUUUUACCGGUACGGGCCGCGGGAGCGGGAGCCCGGAGAUGGGCACUGAGACAAGGUCCCAGGUCCUACGGGGCGCAGCAGGCGCGAAAACUCCACAAUGUGCGAAAGCAUGAUGGGGUUAACCCGAGUGCCAUCCGAUGAGGACGGCUUUUCUUCAGUUUAAGGAUCUGGAGGAAUAAAGGGGGGGCAAGACUGGUGUCAGCCGCCGCGGUAAUACCAGCCCCCUGAGUGGUAGGGACGAUUAUUUGGCCUAAAGCGUCCGUAGCCUGUUUGGUAAGUCUUUCGUUAAAUCCGACGAUUCCAUCGUUGGGCCGCGGAAGAGACUGUCAGACUUGAGGACGGGAGAGGUCGACGGUAGUCCCAGGGUAGGGGUGAAAUCCUAUAAUCCUGGGAGGACCACCAGUGGCGAAGGCGGUCGACUAGAACGUGCCUGACGGUGAUGGACGAAAGCUGGGGGAGCGAACCGGAUUAGACACCCGGGUAGUCCCAGCUGUAAACGAUGCGAGCUAGGUGUCGGAGCAACUACGAGUUGCUCCAGUGCCGCAGAGAAGUUGUUAAGCUCGCCGCCUGGGAAGUACGGCCGCAAGGCUGAAACUUAAAGGAAUUGGCGGGGGAGCAC